GACGAACGCUGGCGGCGUGCUUAACACAUGCAAGUCGAACGGUAAGGCCCUUCGGGGUACACGAGUGGCGAACGGGUGAGUAACACGUGGGUGAUCUGCCCUGCACUUCGGGAUAAGCCUGGGAAACUGGGUCUAAUACCGGAUAGGACUCCUGGCUUCAUGGUUGGGGGUGUAAAGCUUUUGCGGUGUGGGAUGGGCCCCGCGGCCUAUCAGCUUGUUGGUGGGGUAAUGGCCCUUACCAAGGCGACGACGGGUAGCCGGCCUGAGAGGGUGACCGGCCACACUGGGACUGAGAUACGGCCCAGACUCCUACGGGAGGCAGCAGUGGGGAAUAUUGCACAAUGGGCGCAAGCCUGAUGCAGCGACGCCGCGUGAGGGAUGACGGCCU
rnacentral:rRNA from 1 species